rnacentral:rRNA from 1 species
AUGACGGGUCGCCCGGUGUUCGUGCUCUUCGGCUCCUCCAUCGUACAGUACAGCUUCAGCAACGGCGGAUGGGGAGCUACCCUCGCCGACGUCUACGCCCGCAAGGCUGAUAUUGUUCUCAGAGGAUAUAUUGCAUGGAACUCAAGGCGAGCACUUCAAGUCAUUACCAAAAUUUUCCCCAAGGAUUCAGCAGUGCAGCCUAGCUUGGUUGUAGUUUACUUUGGUGGCAAUGAUUCGAUUGCUCCGCACCCUUCCGGGCUUGGACCUCAUGUGCCACUUGAGGAGUACAUGGACAACAUGAGGAAGAUAGGAGAGCACCUCAAGAGCCUGUCCAACAAGACUCGUGUGAUCUUUCUGAGCUGCCCGCCGCUCAACGAGGAGCUGCUCAAAAAAUCAACCAGCACUGCACUCAGCGAGAUUGUGCGGACCAACGAAACCUGCCGUCUCUACUCUGAAGCAUGUAUAUCUGUAUCGAAAGAGAUGGACAUCAAGGUGGUCGAUCUUUGGAACGCCAUGCAGAAACGAGAGGACUGGGCCACAGCAUGCUUUACGGACGGGUUGCAUUUGUCGGAAGAGGGGAGCAAUAUAGUUGUGGAAGAGAUCCUGAGGAUCCUCAAGGAGGCGGAAUGGGAUCCAUGCCUACACUGGAAGGCGAUGCCGACCGAGUUCGGGGAGGACUCGCCCUACGACCUUGUCGCCUCCAGCGGCAAAUCGACCAUCAACCCAUCCGAGUGGACUUUCCACAGGAAAAGAUCAUGGGAAUGA